rnacentral:rRNA from 1 species
GGGUUGUGAGGUUAAGCGACUAAGCGUACACGGUGGAUGCCCUGGCAGUCAGAGGCGAUGAAGGGCGUGCUAAUCUGCGAUAAGCGCCGGUAAGGUGAUAUGAACCGUUAUAACCGGCGAUACCCGAAUGGGGAAACCCAGUGUGACUCGUCACACUAUCAUUAACUGAAUCCAUAGGUUAAUGAGGCGAACCGGGGGAACUGAAACAUCUAAGUACCCCGAGGAAAAGAAAUCAACCGAGAUUCCCCCAGUAGCGGCGAGCGAACGGGGAGGAGCCCAGAGCCUGAAUCAGCAUGUGUGUUAGUGGAAGCGUCUGGAAAGGCGCGCGAUACAGGGUGACAGCCCCGUACACAAAAGCGCAUGUGCUGUGAGCUCGAUGAGUAGGGCGGGACACGUGGUAUCCUGUCUGAAUAUGGGGGGACCAUCCUCCAAGGCUAAAUACUCCUGACUGACCGAUAGUGAACCAGUACCGUGAGGGAAAGGCGAAAAGAACCCCGGCGAGGGGAGUGAAAAAGAACCUGAAACCGUGUACGUACAAGCAGUGGGAGCACCCUUUGGGUGUGACUGCGUACCUUUUGUAUAAUGGGUCAGCGACUUAUAUUCUGUAGCAAGGUUAAC